rnacentral:lncRNA from 1 species
AGGAAAAAAUAUAAAACAGAUCUAAUUUCAUGAAAAUGCUGUUGCCAUAAUGCUCAGGAGAACAGGGGGAAGAGAGAGAUUCAAGUCUUCCUAAUGUCUACCUUAUAUGCAGAGCCUUGGAAAGAUGGGCAAAUGCUCUGUGACAAGCCACCAGGGUAGACUGGUACUGAAAAGACCCUACUACACACAGGGGCUCUGUCCCUGGCUGGAAAGUUACAAGUCAGCCUACCUCUCUGUGAUCUGGUUUCCACACCUACUACUCUUUAUCCCAUGAGGAGCUUCUGGAAACUAAAAUAGCUGCCCAGGUAGAAGAGUGUUGACCAAAGGACACAUCACCAGCACAGACUGUUAAUCAUGUGACUAGAGAAAACUCUCAUGGUGGCAUUCAAAUUUCCAUAUCCUUCUUCUAUGGAAAUUUCUGAGAGACCCAGAAAAGAAGCGUAACGACGAGGGAAAGUGAUUCCUGCAGACCUGAACAUUCCAGACUUACCAGGUGAUCCAGCUGUCUGUCAGCGGGAAGAGGCUGAGGCGCCCCCUUCUGGUGCAUCUGAAUAGUAAGAAACCCUGUGUAGAAAGAAACCCUGUAGCAAUUGGGCACCUUCUCCGUGAUCUGUCUGCUUCCAAUACCAAAAAUUGUUGCUUUUUAAAUGACAUCCAUCCUAAGCUUAAAAAAGACGCAUAUUAUUUGUAUAAAAUGUUGAAGACGCAGAACAAAAAAUGUAAAUCACAUGUAAUCAUCCCUUCCAGAAAUAAUCGUUAUUAAAAUUUCUGUGUAUGUGUAAAAAAAAAAAUUGCAAUCCUACUGUAAUAUAAUCCUGUAUACUGAUAUUUUUCACCUAUCACUGUAUGUUGAGCAUUUUCAAUAGUCAAAUUAUUUCUUGAAAAUAUUAAUGACUGGGGAGUAACCUUUCAAAUAGGUGUGUCUUUAUUUUUAAACCAGUCCACAAUUAUUGUAUAUUGAAGUCAUUUCCCAAAUUUUGUAAGUAUAAGUAUUGCAUCCAUCCUUAU